AACUGCGAAUGGCUCAUUAAAUCAGUUAUCGUUUAUUUGAUAGUACCUUGCUACAUGGAUACCUGUGGUAAUUCUAGAGCUAAUACAUGCUAAAAAGCCCGACUUCGGAAGGGCUGUAUUUAUUAGAUAAAAAACCAACGCCCUUCGGGGCUCCUUGGUGAAUCAUAAUAACUUAACGAAUCGCAUGGCCUUGCGCCGGCGAUGGUUCAUUCAAAUUUCUGCCCUAUCAACUUUCGAUGGUAGGAUAGUGGCCUACCAUGGUGGCAACGGGUAACGGGGAAUUAGGGUUCGAUUCCGGAGAGGGAGCCUGAGAAACGGCUACCACAUCCAAGGAAGGCAGCAGGCGCGCAAAUUACCCAAUCCCGACACGGGGAGGUAGUGACAAUAAAUACUGAUACGGGGCUCUUUCGGGUCUCGUAAUCGGAAUGAGUACGAUUUAAAUACCCUAACGAGGAACAAUUGGAGGGCAAGUCUGGUGCCAGCAGCCGCGGUAAUUCCAGCUCCAAUAGCGUAUAUUAAAGUUGUUGCAGUUAAAAAGCUCGUAGUUGAACCUUGGGUCUGGCUGGCCGGUCCGCCUCACCGCGAGUACUGGUCCGGCCGGACCUUUCCUUCUGGGGAACCUCAUGGCCUUUACUGGCUGUGGGGGGAACCAGGACUUUUACUGUGAAAAAAUUAGAGUGUUCAAAGCAGGCCUUUGCUCGAAUACAUUAGCAUGGAAUAAUAGAAUAGGACGUGCGGUUCUAUUUUGUUGGUUUCUAGGACCGCCGUAAUGAUUAAUAGGGAUAGUCGGGGGCGUCAGUAUUCAGCUGUCAGAGGUGAAAUUCUUGGAUUUGCUGAAGACUAACUACUGCGAAAGCAUUCGCCAAGGAUGUUUUCAUUAAUCAGGGAACGAAAGUUAGGGGAUCGAAGACGAUCAGAUACCGUCGUAGUCUUAACCAUAAACUAUGCCGACUAGGGAUCGGACGGGUUUCUAUGAUGACCCGUUCGGCACCUUACGAGAAAUCAAAGUUU
rnacentral:rRNA from 1 species